UCCCAUCCUCUAAAGCCUUUGGAAGCC
rnacentral:piRNA from 1 species